AAGGAGUUUUGUGAUGUCGCGGGACUCGAAAUCGAUUACUAUCGAGACUUUCUGCGCUCUGAUGCGCUAUCAUUGCUUCGCGCGCCCCUCGUCUAGGAGCGCGCCAUCGCCAGACCCAUCACCUCAUUACCUCGACCAUUCGUCUCCUCGAAAAUCCUCCCAUGG
rnacentral:ribozyme from 1 species